GUUUACUGAAUAGAAAUUUAGUCAAGAGCAUAAUACACUCAACUUUAAAUAGGCUUAACAGUGCUUUCGCCUCCUCUUGGGAAGUGCCCUGACCCUCAAACAUGACUCCUCACAUGACCGAGAGGAAGAUAAUAAUAAAGAAUUACACUUAGGGAGGGGGUCAAUACCUCUCCCUUGAACCUCUGACCAGAUGACAUAGUUUCCCACCUUCUGCAGACUCAGAGAACAAGUCCCCAAUAACAACCCCAUACAAUCCACAACAUAAAAGUCAGUACUUGAAGAUUCAGACAAGGGCCCUUUAGUUCAGCACAGUCAUCUCAAGGAGGAAGGAGCCAUGACAAUUCACAUAAGACUUCAGAAGAUCUCAGCUCUUUGCUAAGGCAACAUAUUCUAAAGCUCAGCUAGCAAGGCCCCUGGGAGCUGACCAGGGUCCUGCCCUGCCUAGAGACACCUGCCUGGACUUGUAUGGAUCUGUUUCUUGCUUCUCCUUCCUGUGAGUCCCCAAGCCCCAUAACAGGAUAGGAAGCAAAGAGAAUUCCCAAAAGCCUCACAAAAAUACGAUCCUCUGAUUUUGUUCAAGAACUCAAGGUAAGUGAACUGUAAUAAAAUCCUGUAUUAUGUUUGUAAUACAGAUAUUCUCUGUGAGAAAGAACAAAUGGAAUGAGAGCUUGAGACCAAAAAAGAUGAAAGGAAGUAGGGAGGAAAGUCUGAAUACAAAGUUUGAAGCCAAGACCAUUAUCCAUUGCUCUGCCUGAAUUUCUACCAGAUGUGAAUCUAACUCAUUUUCAUCAUUUAGCACCUGUAUUUUAAGGGAGUGAUGGCCUUGCCCACAGAUGUCUUCAAAAAGUAAGACUGAAAACUUGCCCCCAAUUGGAAAUGAGUUCCCAUGACAGCAGGGAAUCAGGAGUCUUCCAGGCGAGAACUGAAGAUGAAAGUUGAACCAAUAGUUCAAAAAGUUCAUAUUUUACAUCUUUUCAAUUUAACUUUUUUUUUUAAAGUAAUGCAUUUUAACAUGGAAAAUUCUCACUAUUAAAUAUCUAUACAGCAAGCUUUUGUGUGAAUUAUAUUUAAGCUGUUGUCAGGUGACAGAGUCAGGAGCAGAUCAGCAAUAAAACACCCAGUUAACUCUUUAUUCAAAUAAACCAAAACAGCGCAAGCCUAGUGAUCGCAGCAACUCUUCCCAGGAGAAAGUGCGAGGACCGACGGUCUCCAUCUUCCUACCACUAUAAGACUGCUCCCCCAGGUCCUUCCCCAGCACCUAGAGGUUCCUUCAUCUUGCCUCUCUUUGCUCUGCACUCUUAAUCCCUCUCCAUGCUCUGGGAGACUAGUGGGGAGGGGACCUGGUAACAGCAGAAUGGGGAGACUCUUUAGCAGCCUGGCUCUUUAGCAGCCUGCCCCCACUCCUAUCCAGCCUUCACUUCAGCCUCUGAUUUUGGACUGCCCUUUGCCACAGCCACUUCCUGCUCACUAAACCCUGUUACCUCUUCAGCUUCCAACACAUCCUCUACCCAGUCUGCUCCUUCUUCUCCCUCUAAUCACUCAUCAUUGUCCCACCAUCCAACUCCCCUCGGGGGUUCCCCAGCUGGUGCCUCCCACCACUGCUCUGCAUCCAGCCAGUCCAUGACAGCUGUAACAGGAAUGUUGAAUUUUACUAUAGGUGCAUGUGCACAUCCAUAAGCACCCCCACAUGCAUAUAUAUCUGCACACAUAUUUCCUGCCUUGAAGUAUUUAUAAUGGUCCAUAUAAAAUCUCAAUAAAAUUUAUGGGAUUUGAAGAAAACAACACCACAUUGUAUGUAGGCAGAGCAUAUAUCAAUCAUUUUCUUUGGGGAAAUUAUUAUUUUUGGGAAGUGGGUAUGCAACUUAUUUGUUUGAGACUCUGUUCUUGCACUAAUGAAGAACAACAUUCAGUAAGGAUAUCAACCCCAUUUUUAAAAUAAAGUUAUAUUUUCAGCAUGAACUGAUGAAUAAAAGCCCAGCCUAAGCCUACACUCUGUGUUUAUGGAAUUCUCCAAAAAAAAAGCUAGGCAUUUCCCAAAUGCUGUAUAGUGAAAGUAGAUAGCAUCAUGUGCCUUUGCUUAGAGAGGAAAUUUGGCACAGAUUUAGCAAAAUGAAGUGGUCAUUUUGAAAGGAAACCUACAAUGAGAAAGUUCAGCACCAUCCCAGCAACAGGCAAUAAGUCUAGAAAAAGAACCUGUGGAAUAUGUGUCUGUAUGUCAAAAUUGUCUCCAAACCCCAAUAAACACCAAUAAGCCCUAGUGAGAUAUUUUGUUCCUCAGAAUCUAUUUUGAAUGAAAAUGUGUACUUGAAAAAAGGCAAAUUUAGUAAAAGUAGUUAUGCUUGGAUGAUUCCAAAAGCCUUAAUCCAGCAGUUCAUGUUCUCAGUAGCUACCACCAUAAGCUUAACUUAGUGCUGUGAGACAUUUAUUGCUAUUACAUGUGAAUCAGGAGCUACACCACAAAUAGAUGGGUAUUUUUACACCAAAUGUACUGAAAAGUAGAGGGACAGUCUAUCAUUCACCCACCUUUGAUAGUGCACAUGGUAUUUCAGGGCAAGCUACAAGAUGCUCAAAAGGUAAGUAAUUCUCAUGUGAUCUUGAGUUGCUGCACAGGUAAGGAACCAAAUCCCCAUUUUUAUAGCUGUUGUGAAACCAACAACUGUGCACUUGCUGUGCACAUUUCUAAUGGCUAUGUGUUCAUUUGUCAGUCCUUUCCAUUAUCAGUACAGUAGCAACAGCAUGGGAUGCUAAACUCAUCUCUGUGUCUGCGACAUUUCAUUUCCUUGUGUUUUCUGAUUUAAAAGUGUUACAUACCACAUGGAAAUCUCAUUGAGCCGCCAGGAUUAUACUUGUGGAGGAGGCAAUUAAAAAAAAUGAAAUGAACUAUUUAAUCCUUUCUUUUUAAAAGCAUUUGCAUUAGUAUCAGCUUAACAGUAGUUAAAUAAAAGGAUUCUGAAAAACCAACAAUAAUUCUCAAACAGGAAAUACUUUCAAAGGGUACCAUUUAACAUUCUGAGGUGGGGGGUGCACAGUAACCAUAUCCCUAUGACAACACCAGAGAGGAUUUGUAUCUAACUGCAAGGAUCUAAUUUAUUUCUCAUAUAAUAAUAUCCAGUGGCCAUUGUGAACAUUUCAUUAUCAUGGAAAUUAAAGACAACACAAAGAAAUUAAUGUUUUAAGAGAAACCUAGCAUGGUCCAUUAAACUCUGCCUUUUAUUGUCUGUAUAACUGUAAUAAGAUACGUUUUCUCCCUUUCUGUAAUAUAUACACAUACAUUUCUGAAUAAUGGGAGUAACACUUUCCAUAAAUUACAUACGAAAGCUUUGAGGGCAAGCCACUAGCUCAGCACAACAGUCUUCAUAUUUCCAUAUAAAUGUACACUGUGUACUUUUUUCUUUUCUCGAUUGUCACACGCCCCAUAAAGCAAUACAAUUUAUCCCAGUAGAUGUUAACUCUUGCUAAUUUGUAACGAUCACAAAUCAUGGCUAAGUUGAACAAAGCGAGGAUUUUUUCCAUUAUUACCAGCAAGGGCCAACAGGAGUUGGCCUUCAGAAAGAGAUGGCAGUUGACUACAAGCCAGGAUAUGUAGUUAGACUACUAUCUUCUGUGGUUUGGGUUAGAAAGAACAGGGAGAAGUCCCAAUGCCCAGAUCAGGCUAAAGGCUUUAUAUGUGUGGCAGUAGAACUCCACAUCCAUGACCCUACUUGGAUAGGAAAUCUCCUGAACAAAAUUGAUGCGCCCAUGAUGAUGACAUUCUCCAACCUGAUCUAGCAACCUGGGGCUACACUUUCACACCCACACUUUUUCAAGAGGAGAAAUGUAAGGCCAUAUUUAGGUCUCCCUUACUUUACUUUCUCUUCCCUGCCAAGCAGGUGAUUGGUAUGAUUAAGCUUAUUUUUACAGGGAGGCUAGGCAUGCAACCUUUGCUGCUGUGCAAGCACUGAAUUAGAUCGGUGCCUACACUGUCAGGUUAAUUUUCCUGAAUAUUUGACACUGGAUCUUUGGCGUUUGAAAUGUCUUUCCUUCUAUGGUUUGAACAGAGGCACGUUCUUUGUGACACAAUACUUUUAUCUCAUUAAACCAGAACUUUUAUGGUCUCUGUCCAGUGGCUCUGACCACAAAGCGCCACUGUUUAGCUCGUUAACCAAGGAAUGUACAGUGGAAUGCACAAAAUUGGUGUGCUCACUCUUGUCAUGCCAAACAGCAGUAGCCUGUCUACUCCCAUGUUAUCCGCAGGGGAGAAAUAUUUCAUUCCAAUACUGUUCCUACAUUGUAAUUUGAGUGGAGAGUUAUCUAGCCCCAUUCAUUUUUGUUUGUCCCCAUUCCGAAAAGUACAUACAGUAGGAGCUAUCCCAGAACACCUUUCAGAAAAGCGUAUGAAGAUUCUAACUACAAUUUCUAUCCAAGAAGAUGGAAGUAGUUUUCCCCCUUUCCCUCUGGGCACUUGGGAUAAAGCUGCUGUUAAUGGUGAGGAAGAGGAGAAGCAGGACCAGGGAACUCUGGGAUUCAGCAAUGUCUCAGCAGAUGCUCAAACAUCCAGUCCUGCCAGAGGAUAACUACCACAUGCCUAGAAAAAGGAUUUGGGACCUAUUUUAGCCAGGAGGCACAUGUUGGUGCUGGAUGGAACCACAAGCAUAAGUGGCAGAAAAAUUAUUGUAGAUUUUACCUUUGCACUGAAGGCUACUUUCUAUACACACAUACCUCUUUCCUGUAUCCAGGCAAUCAAAAAGCAUUACCAGAGUUCAAGGACACAUUCAUGUCAGGCAGCAUGUGAAGCAAGGCCAGUGAAGGAUGCAACCUGGGGGGAGAGGGUGUGGAUAAGGAGUGUGUGUGCCUGGAGAGAGCCAAAUAGAGAGGAUUGGAGGGUUGCAUUUUGCUACAGUGCUGAAGUUCCCUGCCCCUGGACUAAAACAUAGUGCAAUUGACAAAUAAUACUUAUUUCUGUUAAAGAAGAGGAAAUAGACCAGCUAUGCAGAUCACAAGUUAAAAGCCUUUCAGUUUUACAGUGUAGACAAUAGGUGCCAAGUCUAAUAGCCAUUUCUGCUUCUAAUUGCCAACCUUUGAAGACAGUUUAGAAAUUGUAGCUGGUGCAGAAUUAAAUGACCAGAUUGCUGAUCAGGGCAAGACAGUCUGAACAUAUAACAACAAUCCUGGCAUGACUUCAUGGGCUGACAAUUAGUUUCUGGGUCCAAUUAAACUGCUGCUUUUGACCUAUAAAGCCUUAUGCUGCUCAGGACCCUAAUAUCUCAAGGACUGUGUCACCCAACAUCAACCAAUUCAAAUCCAGCAGUCAUCAUCUGAGGCCCUUAUCUGUGUUCCCCCUCGGAAUGAGAUGUAGAGGGCAGCAACAUGAGAACCAGCCUUCUCAGUAGUUAGUGCCUUCCCAAUUGCAGAAGGACCUCCCCAGGGAUGCACAUUGAGCACCAUAAGUAUCUGUUUUAGGUACCUUAAUUUUCUGCUUAUCUCUUUAGUGGGGUGGGUUGUGUCUGAUCUGUUCUUUUAUGCUUAUCACCAGUGAGCAUUUUAGUUGUUUUUACUUGUUUUUCUUUUCUUUUCUGGAAGCUACUUUCGAGUCACUUUUAUGAAAAAUAGUGAAUUAUGAUUACUACUACUCAGAAAAUAGGAAAGACUUGCCAAGCUUUUGUAAACACAUCAUCUUCUAAAUUAUUUUCUAAAAUCAACUAUGAUAUCAAUUUGUAGUAACUUAAUUAAGAUAUCAGAACACUGAAAACAGCUUUAUCUGAUGGCAUUUUGGCUUGUUCUGCUUAAGGACAGAGACCUUCAUCAGUGUUUAUUUGAAGAUUAUAAUAAGUGAUGUAGAUGACUCAUUCUCAUCAUCAUGUUAGAAUCAAUCCAAACACUGGAUGUCUGGGCUGGAAAGGCAUGCAGAAUAUGCAAGCAUCUGUUAAGCCACAAAGAAAGUUUGGAAGAUGGAAAGAAAGAAAAAGGCCUUGAUCUAUCCUUUGAUUGCACAGGACAAGCUUUUCAUUAACUUGAUAAAUGCUUUCUCACAGACUCUUUCUGUGACACCGCACAGCCUCUUCUUAUUUUGCAAAACCAUUCCUAAAUAGUAAUAAUUUCUAGAGUGCUUCCUGUGCUGAUCUCAUUCCUCUGGCUAUGAAAACUUGAGUUCUCUGAACUAGUCUUGCAACUUCAUGCUGCCUCCUCAAUGACGUUAUUGCCCAUGAAGGAACAGUGUGUGGAUAGUGGUGGCUGAUACUCUCACUUAAGUGCUACAAUAUCAACACUGAACAGAGAGGAACAAAUCAAUUCAACAGAGGCCCCUGUAGGGCUGAGACUGGAGUGUAAAGUUUCAAGAGAACAACAGGUUCAAAUUGCACAUUAUGCUUAAUGUGUAGCAAAGUUUCUUAUGUUUCUUUAAUGAAUUACAAUGGAGAGGAUUCUUAAAGAAAUCAUCACAUGUAGAAAGGAAGGUUUAUCACUUCCAUCCCCAGAUGCGACCUCCUGAAUAUUGCCCCCUCCCCCAGUUUGGGGGGAGUUUCUACUGGUGCUAUUUUCUUAUUCUAAACCUGGUAGCUGCAGUUGGAGGAGGAAGGGGCUCCAUGCACUGUGAUUCUAAUUAGCAAUCUCUCCCCGUGCUUGUCAUAAAUUAAUUAAAGAAAAACAAGAGACAGAGCUGCAUGCUAUAUAUUAAGCUAACAUGCAGUUUGGCACUGAAGAUUCCAGACUGGAAAGAACACUGGACCCUCCAACACCUCAAAGACUAUUGUUGUAUAAAACAUACACUCUCCAGCACCAUCCUAGGACUAUUAGUAUUUGUAUGGUGCUUACAGCUACAUACCGAUUUUUUGAAACUGCCUUUUUUAUUGUGUCUAAGAACUCUGGCAAUGGUCUGUCCUAGCAUUGUUACCUCUUUUAAGUUGUCUGAACCUGGUACCUCCUGUGUAGACAGUGCAUGCUUAACUUUUAAGUCACAGCCCUUCCACAGAGGGAGGAAGAAAUAGAGUUAUACUUGGAGAACUUGCAGUUCUUUGACAAAAUGCUACCCAUUCAUUAAAUGCAACAAAUAUGGGAUUCCAUUUAUUUCCAGAAUCUAGCAACUCACCUAUCUUCAGCCUCAAUCUAUGGCAUCAAUAACAUUUUCCUUUUGUUCACAAGUAGGUUGAUGUCCCAGUUAAGCAUGGUUACAGAAGCUCCAGGUAUUCAAAACAGACUAAGCCCCAAUUUUUUUCCAAAACAGCCGAAUACACACCACCACUAUUGUUUGGUCCUAAAUAUCUGAGCCCUGAAAUCUAAUGCCUUUGUGUUGGACAUACUAGAGCUGCUGAUGGUGUAAUAUUUUUGAGUAACCAGCUGGCUGAGCAGCCCACCUUCCAUAUUCUUAAAGAUCCAUUUCUGAGACCAAUACACUAGAUGUGUGGGUUACUUAAAUCAGGACAAGUAUUACAUUUACCACGCUAAAACUCCAGAACAGAGAGCUGUACAUAAAAAUACUGAUUUGUUUUACUGCCCUGAUUUCAUUCUUCUUCUAAUUAGUGAAGUAACCUUGUGUUGUUAGUUACAAUUAUCAUUCCCAUUUUACGAUGCAAGGUCUUCGGGUAGAAGACAAGUGAUUUGUCCAAGGCCACCUCAUGUGUCCAUGUAAAGACUAAAUAUGUUCAUUCUAGGCCAAAGUCCAACAUUGGCCUAGGAAUUCUAGGCCAAAGUCCAACAUUCUGCUUGUAUCUCUCUAACUUUUAAAGGAUACUUUAGGUUCAGUAAAAAGUAGAGGAAAACUUCACUGUAUUAACACCUAUGGCUGUGUUUCAUCUUAUUGUGCAUUAACAGUUGAAAACUAGAGUUUGCAGACUGACAAAUCCUGAAGAAAGUGUAACUAAACCUGUCAAACAAAAAUGUCAUCUUAUAUAUUGAUAUGACUAAGUACUGCCUAUCAGCAAAUGGAAUUUCCAACAGACUGCCUUGUGACAUUUCCUAUUUCUUCAUGCAUUUUGCUCCUGUGGCUCUUGCUAUGACUGAAAGCAGCAGGGUGAUCGUCUCCGCAGUGGGAAGUGAAGCACCUGCUGCUGAGAGUAAUGAUUGUGUCUUUACUAAAUCUUGGAUCUAUUUAUGUGCAUUUGACCACUUAGAUAUAUUAACAGCAAGCUCUCCAUAGGUUAAGUAGUUAAAUACUUUGGAACACCAGCUGAGAAGCUGGUAGAUGUCACCUUCAGUGUCUAUUGGGGCCAAGAAUAACUGACAAAUCAAGACGGCCCUUCCAUUAAAUAUGGCAAACCAAUCAAAAGAAAAAUGAUGACCUUUUAGCCACAUUGCUUCAUGGGAAGAAGAAAAAACAAACUUUCCAUCUGCUAAUGAAGUAAAAAAAAAAAGUGAACUAAACAUUGUUAAUUGCUGUAGGCUGCAAUUACUCCCAACACCUUCCUCAACAAUUCUUUUAAAUGGUCUCACUGGGAUAAAUAAAUAAAAAAUCUGUAUUUACCUGACCAUUAUUAACUAGUUCCUGCAGUUAUUUCAAAGAUGGUGUUCUUAGUCUACACCAGGCAUGUCCAACAGGUAGAUCGCGAUCUACCGGUAGAUCACUGGACGUCUGUGGUAGAUCACAAAGCUCAACAAUUUGGCUGUCAAUAACAGGGUAGAUCACAGCCAGUAUUUUUAUACUGUGAGUAGAUCACAGUCUCUUGGGAGUUGGACAUGCCUGGUCUACACUAUCUCUCACAAUGUUAUGGAGUGGGGCCUCGAGCCUGAUUCUGGCUCACUAUUGUCUACACAGACUGGCAAUGGCUCUCCAGGGUUUCAGACAGGUAGUCUUCCGCUGAACUAACUAGAGAUAUGGAAGACUGAACCUGGGAUGUUGAGCUACAGCCCUUCCCCAAAGCUUUGCUCUUAAUGUCAAGGCCUUCUGAUGUCAGGGUCUGAUGUCACAAUGCUAAUUACAGACAAUAAAAUACUGGAAAUUAUGCUACAUCACUAGCACCUUUGAGGCAGAGAGGACAUGUUACAAUAAUAAGUUUUGGCGUGCUUUGAGGGUGGUUUCCCAGCCUCUUGCAACAGUGUUGUGUAGUCAGUUACCUUGAUGAGAGUUCUAGCUGCCUGCACAGUGGCUCCUUUUUAAAAGCAUGUGCUGACCAUCCCAUUUCUAGACACCAGACAGAAAGUGUAAUUGUCUUUCUCAUAAUAAGUUUAUAGAAAAUAGAGAUGAUUCAGCUGGGAGUGGAUUUACAUAAAUAAAACAGACAUAGAACAACCUGCCCUGGGGCAAAGAAUUGAUUCAGUUACAAACUGGGGCAGUGGGGGGGUACAUUUAGUUUUUCAGUCUCUUUCUAGUUGAUGGGCAACCCAAAGCAUCCUGAAUGCUGGUGUCAGAAGUAGAGAGAGGCAAGGAAACUAAAACCUAAUCCCAGCGAGAUGGAAACGCUGCUAGUUGGUGAGCCCUAUGGUGUGGGUAGAGACUUACACAUCUAUGCUGGAUGAGGUUGCACUCCUCUACCACUCCCAAAAAGUAUGUUUGCAGCUUGUGGCUAAUUCUGGAUCUAGUACUUUUGGAUAAACAGGCAGCAAUAGACAGAGGUGCCUUAAACUAGCAUGUUGGUUCACCAGGUGUGGGUCUUUCUAGGGAACUUGGAGUUAGCCACAGUUAUUAUUCCCCUUGAAAUAACUUACAUUUCUAUAAUAUCUAGACAUGCAGCUUCCCUUGAAGACCAUCCAGAAACUUCAACUAGUCCAAAAAUAAUAAUCCCCAGGAGUAGAAGACAUCUGAAGGCAGCCUUGCAUUGGGAAGUUUUGAAUGCUUGAUGUUUUACUGUGUUUUUAUAUAUGCUGUAAGCCGCCCAGAGUGGCUGCGGAAACCCAGCCAGAUGGGUGGGGUAUAAAUAAUUUAUUUAUUUAUUUAUUUAUUAUUUUUACCACACAUACAAGACAUUUGAAAUCUUAACUGACUAUUUAUCCAUGCUCUGGCAGAAUUCAAGGUGCUAGCAUUAACCUUUAAAGCUUUUAGUGGCCCAGGAACAACACACCCUAAGAACAUCCUUUUCUCAUAUAAAUAAAUACUUUUUUUUUUUUUUAAAGUAACUUUAACUUGAUCUGUGCUUGACUAUUGUGUAUUUUGUGAAACAUGUCACUUAGCUGUACAUAUCAGGCUUAGCAGCCUGCAAUUUUUACAACCUUUAUUAUAGGUUAUGGAGGGAAAUAUGACUUACUAUGAUGUACAGGGAAUGUUUAACUUUAUACCACUUAAGUGUAACUAAAUAAACCCCUUCAAAGAUGAGUCCUGUCUCACACUUGACUGCAAAUGAAGGACAUCAUUUAUCCUCUGGAGCCAAUCUGUCUCACUAAAGAUAUAUUUAAGUGCAGAAGAUACAAUGCCAUCACGCUUUUCUUUUCUUUGCAAAGAAUGACAUGUAAGGGGAUAAUUUGUUACUCAUAGGGUUUAAAGAGCAAAUUGGAGUAGUCAACAUAAUUAUUGCCUUGCUCUUUAAAAAAAAUGACAAUGCAGUCCUCUUUAGAUCAUUUUGCAUGAACUUAUUCUGUGAAGCCCAAUGGAUUGAAACAAAAAUAAUGGGCAAGGUAAUGCUUACUCUGUGGUUAGAAUAAAGAUCUGCACUAAUGUAAUCCGAGGAAACCUUGCCUUCUGAGAUUCAAAUAAGUUAUGAUUAAGCAGAUUUGCCAAUAUCUGGAUAUUUUGCACAAUUGAUUCUUCUUCUGAAAUGCUUGAGUGUAGCACUGUGUAAGGUGCUGUGUGAGUGCAAGAGAGAGAUACAAACUGAGGCUCCAGCCCUGACCUCCUGAAAUUCUAGAUCCAUAUUGCUUCUAUGUUGCUUCUGGAUUGGACUUCCUUAGGGUUGUCAUUUAGCCUGUUAUAAAGACUUCCGGGUUGGCGCCUCUGGCAAUGGCAGAUUUCCUCCGAUUGGGAGGAAUCCGCUCCGUGGAAAACAGGGUCUGAACCGCCACGGCGAGGCGGAGACCCAUCAAAAACCACAGGCGGGAGAAGCCUGUGGACGUGGGAUUCGGCUGGCACCCCUACUCGCGGGGAAACCCUGUUUUGGGGAUCCGGAGCGACGUGGGGUGAGUGGCGCGGUGCUUUGAAUCGACUGCUUCUUUCACGGAGUGAAGCCGCAUUGCUGUUGCCAGAGAGCGCUGACUUUUCCUGUGGACAAUUGGAUUUUAAACAACUGCCCGUGAGUAGAACGGAAAAUUGGACUAUGAAAUUUCUUAAUUUGGCACCGAAGCGGGAAGGUCUAAACAGGAAGUCCGCCUUCCGCUUUUGUAGAUAGAUUGAAGCAAAGACAUGGCAAGCUAGAGCUUAGAAAGUCGUCUGUAAAGGAUCAAAUUUUCAUCAUUUAAAAUUACUGAACCCCCCUUGGAAGCAGGAGAAGAGGGGGGAACUUUUUUUUUUUAAGACUGUUUAAACCUGCAGAAGAGAGAGUAAAGAAAGGUAAUUUUCCACCGUCUUGAACCUGGGAGUGGGGUGUCAGGACAGAAGUUUUGGGGAAGUUCAUUGACUAUGGACAAACGUUUUUGACAGAUAGUUAAGAAGAGAAACAUAUUGACUCCAUUGUUCCCUUUCGCAUUUAAAAGGAACAAAAUAUCGACAAAAUACCCGAAAAAGGAAACUUUGUUGCUAGAUCUGCUUUUUUAAAAAAAAAGAUGGAUACAAAUAGAAAUUGUUUCCCCUAGAGGGAGCUUGUGAAACUGUUAUUAAAGUUGAACUGGGGAGCGCUGCAGCUGUAAAGAUUAAAGAUCGUGGGACCAGACUUCGACCUUGAACAAGAAUGUGCUCAGAGGCUCUGGUGCUUGCCUUUUGCAAGACAAGUGCUUUAUUGGAACAGUUACACGAGAAGAUGGAUUUGAUGACUGUUGCGAUUGGAAAUUUUGGACAGGCAGUGGGUACCUAUAUAGAACCCACUCAGGAAUUAAUCCAGGGAUGUGCUUUGACAGAUCAGAUGAGGGAGGAGGUUGUUGCUGGACCUCGGGUGGCAGAGAUGGAGGGAGCUGUGGCCCAGCAGGAACAUGAGUUAUUGGAUUUGAUGAACGAACCUGGAAAAAGUCAGAUUCGGAGAGAUGGAGUUCUGUUUGGCUUGGAGAUGGGGGGCUGGAUAGACCCCCCUAUGCAGGGAUGUUUUGACCUUUCAAGUCUGGCUUUGCGCCGGGGGGAGCUCGGAAUUGUAGGGGCCCUUAACUUUGGAGGGACCUUGAAACAUGCCUUUAAAUACCACAUGGAUUUCAGUGUUGACUAUGGAAAAGGGGCUGACUUGCCGAGAAGGGACAAAAAUAUUGUCAAGCUGGAGUCUCCCCGAGUGAAAGGAGCAGAAGACAAAGCAAAGUACAGGUAUAAACAUGAAGAAGACCUGCGAAAGGGACAUGGAAAAGACUUAAGAGCCUCGGAUAUAAGGUCACCAGGUUGAUGGACUAGAUGGAUGGGAUAGAAAGGACUAACAAAACCCGAGACCAGGAAGAAGAGACGAUGGAUGAAGAUUGGAAGAAAGUUUUAAAAAUUUAUUUAGAAAAGUAUCGUAAAAUUAAUGAGUAUUAGAAAAAUGUUGGAAUGAAAUUAUUUGGCUUUAGCAGAAAUGUUAAAAAGAAUUAUGUAAGAAUAUGUUAUGGUUAAAAGAAUUUGGUAUAAAUAAGAUUUAAGUUUUAAGUUUUAGGGUUUUUAUGGUAAGAUAAGGUUAAAAUAGAUUAAGGUAAUUUAAUGACAGAAUAUUGUGAAAGAUGGAAAGGAUUUGCUGAGAUAAUUAACAACUAGAAUACAAAAAAGGGAGGUGUGAGGAGGUCGAUGAAAUAAGUUAAUGAAAGUUAAGGAUUUGGGAAUAUUGGAUUUGUUUUUAAAUUUUUUGUUUAUUUUUGCUUUUUGAUUUUGAUGCAUUGUGUGUUUUGUUUUUUUCUUUUUGACUUUGGUUUUUGAUUUGUAUUGUUUAAUUGUUACUUUUAUCUACUUUUUUCUUUCUUUUACUCUUUCUCUUGUUUUUUCCUUCUUUUUUCUGUGUCAUUUUAAAAUUCUCAAUAAAUAUCUUUUUUUUUUAAAAAAUUAGCCUGUUAUACACAACUUCCUGCCUACUCUGGAUUAUUCUACUUGCUUCUGGCCCUUCUGAACUUCAGCUGCUGUUUUUGGAACUCAACUCCUUGCUUGUCUUGGAUAAUACUCCUAACUUGUUCAGGUUGACAGCUUGCUCCCCAGAGCCUGAAAACUGAACUACUGCUGCCCAGUACUACCAGAACCCAAGUUUUUAUAGGCCUCCCUGUGAUUAAAAUGUAUCAUAAUUAUUAGUAUAUACCAUCCCUAGUGGAACAUACCAACUAGUAUUAACAUCUCCUGCAUAACCGAAGUAGUAGAGCCAUUUAUUGUUGUUUAGAAUAAGUCAUCACAGCUAGACAUAGUCAAUACACAAUUUUAAUGUUUCUUAAAGUUGUGUUUUAAAACUGCUAUCGUGAGUUUUAUGGCAAUAAAAAUAAAUAUGCUGCUCUACUUGUGAGUCAUAAAUAAUACUUGGCUGUGGUCACAGAGACCAUGGGAAUUCUGCAUUCUGAAACCAAAUGUCUGUAACACUUGACAUUUCUGGAUGUCUGCAUCUGUUUACAUGAGGAGUGUAGUAAGCAGUUGAAAAAAAACUCACUGGGAGUUUUCAGAGCCAUCCAAGACAGCAAUAAACAGCAAGCACCAAGAUCCGCAGCUUUAAAUUAAAACCUUUUGAAGGGCUUUUCAUUACUCCAAGGGUCAGUGAAAUGGAAGCAAAUUCACUCAAGUUUUCCUAUGAACCCAUAAAGCCCGUUGUCAAGGGUAUAUUUUGUGUGCAUUUUUUAAGUGCUUUCCUGAUCAAUCGACCAAUCAAUUUAUUGAACCAGUCAGCAGACCUCACAAUGAAAUUUAUACGUUCAUUAUCACAGAAGAUAUCACAUGUUCUUAUAACUUUAUUGACAGUUUGCUGAAUAUGAAUUUGCUUUGACUAUUGAAUUCACCCACUUCAAGGCAUACUGCAGUUGUAAUAAACAGACACAUCAAAACUAAUUUGUGAAACCAACAAGUUAUGUAGCACUGCUUAUUUUAUCUUUUAUCAAAAGAGCUUGCAUGGAUAGCAGUAUGCUCAGAAGAUUUGUCAAAAUAGUUGCAAUUCUAUUUAGAACACUGAUCCAUUGGCUGCUAUCAGCUGGAAAUGGGGCUCUGGAGAUUCUCUAGGAAAAUCACUACAUUAGGGCCAAACUAGAUGUCACACAGUCUCUCACCUUAUUGUAAAUAAAAAGCAAGGAGCUGCCAAUAUGAAUGGAGCAACAGCAUGAGGGACUUCCCAACCUUUCCCUUUUUUUGGAAUUAUACUGCUCAAACAUGGCCCUCUCAAGUGGCUUUACCAUUUUUGAGCAAAAAUAUAUUUGACACUGGCUACCAGAAAGAAUAUCGUGGAUCCAUUUUGGUUCUAUUUAGAGUGAGGAGAGCACACACCUGUAAAUCCAAACAGCAUUGUACAGGCAGUGUGUCCUGCUGUGUCUUUAGCAAGAACCCAUGAAGCAAGGCAACCAGUGUCUCAGCACUUUAGAUAGCUCCAGUGUUCAGAUGAAAGCAAGAAUUCGGCUGAGGCUUCAUAACUCCUGCAGUCCAGAUUACCUCUCCUAAUCUCCAUCCCUUCCCCACCUGUUCUCUUAGGUCAGCUUCCUGGACACAAUGGGAGUGGCCCUCCUCUCAUGAAUUCUUGCCUGGUGCAAUCCCUACAUUGCUGGGCAGGGGCUUGGAGCAGGAGGUGCUUGGCUCUUUGGGUGACUUAAGCUUAUUGAUGAGGGUAUUGGGUCUACAGCUCCAUGGAUGUCAGGUGGGCCAAAUAAUUGAUUAGUCCUCAGAUUUAUCCAACCCUCCCCAGCAAAUGCUCCAACCAGGCAUAAACCAAAGGAACAGUUUCUUCCUUGGAAAUGGUUCAAUGAGUAAUACAUAUUGACCCUUUCCUUCAUUUAACUCCCUUUUAAUGGCAUGAAAUUAAUUCAUUGUACUAAAUGACAAAAACAUGGUCAUUAUAUAAUCCUUUCACUUACAUUAGAGGGCUGCUUAAGUCAAACCUCAAGUUCCAUAAUCAAGUUCUAAGUUCAGUCAGUGGUGGUCUAGGAUUGUACAGCUAGUCAAUGGUACAGAAGCAGAGGAGAGUGAAAAGCGUCAUCAGCAGGAGCAGAAGUGGGACUGUCACAGUCUCUUUUAAAGGUACAUAAACACGUCACAACAAAAUGUCACAGUGAUCACUUUUAUCAUUCUUUAACUUUAUAGCUAGGAAUCAGUCUGAUAUUUCAUAAAUGUCAUCAUCAAAAUGCAAUUUAUAUGUAAAAUGAUAAAGACUUUUAUUUUUAAAGAAAAAAGUGACUAUUUGCUAAAUGGCUAGAAAUGACUCCAAACAGCAUGCAGCUGCAUGUAACAAACUCCAUUAUUACUCCUACAAUAUAGUCCUCGGAGACAGUUUUCUGAUGUAUGAAUGGAGCUGCUUUUGUUAUCUUUCUGGGCUAUUGAUAAGUUUGCACUUAACAAAAGCAACUUGCUGGUCACAAUUGUUGAGCUAUUGAUUUUUCUCAGCUACUUCUGCAUUACCUUUGUUUCCUUUACUCUGCAAAUAGUGAUCCCUGUGGUGAAAUAGCAUUAGAGGGGCAGUAUGAUAAACUCUAUUGUUGCUGAAUGUCUCCCUUUGAAAAUUUCCACUGGGAUGGUGAUGGCACUUGCUCAUUGCUCUGUACACUUCCAAUAAUCUUACCCAUUGAACACCAUCUAUUUUCUUGCUCAGAUAGAUGCAGGACUUGAGAUUCUGAACAAAGUAAAAUGCCAUCCCGGCAGCAUGGAACACAAAAGGGACUAUAAUUGCAGGAGCCUUUACAUUCAUACUACAAGAGAAUGAGAAAGUGUAUCAUGUCUGUGUUCCUAUUGUUCAGUCAUGCACAAUGAAUAUAUUUAUCACUCUGUGAUUUUUCCAGAUAGUCUGGGGGUAGGGGGAACUACAACCUUCAGAGCAACAAAAUCGUAUCAGAAAGCCAAACCUCAAUUUUCUGUCUAACAAGCAGUCAUCUAGCUAAUCCAUGUAAAAUAAAAACAAAUGUCAAAUAUAUUUUUGUGCCUGUUGCAUCAAAGGGCACAGAUACUUGCUUAUAACAUUCAGAAAUAAAAUUAGCAAGUUUAUACAAUCAAGAUUCAGAGCAUCAUUUCAGAAUUAUUAUUCUAUGGUUACUACCCUUAGAAAUAUGCUUUGCCAAAAAAAAGGGGUCUUAUUUGUUUUAACAGAACCCUUUUUUGUAAUGCAAACUGCAGACACGGUUUAAAAUUUAAAGGUUUAAAGUUGCCCCUUCACAUGCUGGAGUCCUAAUCCAGAUCAUGAGCCCCAUAUUGUAAAUUUGGAAAGAAAACAUAACCCUGCAUUGAAGGGAUGACCUACUUAGGAUAAUAGAAUUGUAGAACUGGAAGGGACCCCAAGGGUCAUAUAGUCCAACCCUCUGCAAUGCAGGAAUCCUGCUCACAGCUGCUCCUUGGGGGGCUCCAACCAACAAUCUUCUGGCUAACAGCCAGAUGCACUGAUCCAUUGCACCACAGGAGGAUUAACAUUAUGUGCACUUUGGAACUCAGGGCUAGUUGAUGACUGCUACUCCUAAUGUGCAAAUAGACUAGAGCAUCACAGAAAUGAGAGUACAGACAGAACUUUCAUGUUAUCUUAGAUCAUUUGAAACACAGCACUUUUCAAAGGAGACUGUUCACUUCCUCGGCUGUAGAGUGCUCAAGGAGCAGAUAAGCUGAGGAUGGUGUUCUUCUGAUGGAAGGCAUCCAUGGAAAACUGCCUCCCACCCCAAACCACUGGUGGAUGUCUUCCCUCAAUAAAAGGACACUAACAGAACAUUUACAUAUAUGUGAUGACUAAAUCUGCAUAAAAUAAAGAAUCCCAGAGUUUCCAAUCUUAUACAGUGGUACCUCAGCUUACAAACGCUUUGGGUUACAAACACUUGGGGUUACAAACUCUGCUAACCUGGAAGUAGUACCUCAGGCUGAGAACUUUGCCCCAGGAUGAGAACGGAAAUUGUGCACUGGUGGCGCAGCGGCAGCAGGAGGCCCCAUUAGCUAAAGUGCGCCUCAGCUUAAGAACGGUUUCGGGUUAAGAAUGGACCUCCGGAAUGAAUUAAGUUCGUAACCCGAGGUACCACUGUACUCUUCUAGGCUAUGAUGAGCCACAGUAUUUUUGUUUCUUUGAAACCAUUUGAAUUUGACAGAGGAGUGAAAAUAAAACAAACUCACUAUGAAAAGAUAGAUCUUGGAUUCCCAUAUUCUUUUAUCAGUGCUCAAAUGUUUUACUAUAAAUAUAUUCGUGCAAUGUUGUAACAUUUAACUGAUACUCCAGAUCUUUAUCUCCAUCAAACUCCAGACUAAGAGAUCAAACACAUUUAACCUAUUCAGAAACAAAGUUACAAUAAAAGCUACAAGUUUAAGUGAUGUUACAAAUGCAAACCAGAUAUGAAAACUCUGGACAAGUCCUAUAGCUGUAUGGUACACUUAGGGGUGGCUCUUUAAUAGCUCCAGUAAGUAUGAUGCACACAUAUCAGAGCAUUGUCUGAAUUGUGAUCUCUUAUAAUGCACAGAUGAGCCAAAGCCUGCUCUGAUGUAAUAUCUUUUUCAUUUGCCAUUAUGUGCAGAGAACAAUCCAUCAAAAGUUAGUAGUGACAGUCAAAAUAAUGUCCCACUAAAAUCAAUGAAACUUAAGAUAGCAGUAAAUAAGACCUAUUUCAUUGUUUUCUCUGAGAGUUAUACAUGACAGGAGAAGUAUUGCAACCACUAACGGCAUAGGGAAGUGACCAGAGCCCGUGCUCUAUAACUAAGCCAUGGCCCUUCCACGAUGCUGCAAAGUACCUUUUCGCCUAACUCAUCUCAGUAAACGUACGCUCCUUUGAAUCCUAGAGCCCAAAUGGCAUCACUAAGCAUCUAUUGUAACUUAAUCUAUUAACAGACAUAAAUGAACCUAAGUAAGAUUUGGGAUAAAAAGGCACCCCAUGUAAAAUAUUCAUAUAGACAUUUAUGGCUGGGUGGCAUUCAAUCCUGUGCUAAGAGGGGUUUGCACAUGGGGAAUGUGGUCUGCUUGUGUGGUGGGACUUUAUCUCUUCUCCCCCACACCCUGGACCAGCUAAACCAGUUCUGGGUUUUUCCCCAACUUGCCAGAACAAAUUUAGGGGCCACGGUGAGAAGGGCGAAAGUCUUACUGCAUGAGCAGACUUCAUUCUCUGCACACAACAAAUUAGUUGAAUCCUCCCUGAUAUAUGUUGCUCAAUAUGCACACCAUAAUCACACACACCCUAUAAUGAGAUAAAAUUUGCAUCUACUUAUUAAUUUUGGCUAUCAAUACUGUAAUAAAAUACAAUUGAGAACAUUCAUAUCAGGAUAAAUAAUAACAUUAAAAUGUAUCUAUGGGUCGUCAGGCCAUGGGAAUGGGUCAACAGCCUGAACCAGUUAUUACUUCCGUAGGUAUGUUUACAUUUGGUUUAUUGUACUUGGCUUGAUUUUCAGAGACUAAGAAAAACUCUUCCAACAUGAGGAUAACGACAAGUAAGCUGACAUGGAUUGGCCACAGAAAUAGCAAUGUCAUCUGCACACAUGGAUUGUUUAUGACUCUGGAAUGUGUCACCAUGCCUUUUAUAUCUAGUUUCUCAUAGGCAUCUGGUUGGCCACUGUGAGAACAGGAUGCAGGGCUGAUCCAGCAGGUUUCUUCUAAUGUUCUUAGAUUGUCUCAUGAUGCAGUUGGCAAGCAUUCUGCUGCCAAUAGCAAAAAAUAAGGAUGAAAGAGACAGCUCAGUGAAGUGUCACAGUAUGAGAGAAAAAUGAUUGUUACUUAACAGAGAAGCACAAGUUUCAUUGGCCCAAAAUUCAUUAAAAGCAACAGGGAUUUCAAAAAUCUCCAAUUUCAUAUGUUUUUCCCAUACCUCUAAGAUGACUGAUACAGUCCUUUAGCCACACUGAUAACAUAAACGGUUGUCCUCACACUAUUGGACACUGUUCUUUCGGUAAUAAAUCUUGUUGGAUCUGGAUAGCUGAAAUAAGACUGCGGGAAUUUCUAUAGUUUGUGCUCUUAAAUAUCACUCUAAACAAAACAAACCUUGAAAAUUUCAGAACAGUUUGGAUUCUGCAGGCACGUGUGCAGACAUUGCCGUAAACCUUGUUUUCCCCUCUUUCCCUUACAGUCCAUGCAUAGGCACAGGUUCAUGACCUCUGUUUGGUUAAGGAACAUUAUACUGAGUUCCAGGACAGUGACAAGAGGGUAGGGAUAUAGGAGGCAUGCACAGGUCUCCCAAUGCCCACCAUGGUCUGGUGCAGCGACCAAGUUUUUAAAGUUCUAUAUAAGUUGCAUAUUAUUAUGUUUAUUAUAUUGUAGUUCACUCUGGGAUUUCUUUUUUAAAUGAAGAACAAUUUAGAAAUCUUCUAAAUAAAUAAAUAAAUAAUUUCAAGUUAGAUAUUUGUGUGUGUGAGAGAGAGAGGCAACUGAUCAAACAGAGAAAUUGCAUGAAAUGCUAUGAAUAAAUUUUAUAGUGUUAUUUUCCCCCAAUUCUACCUUAUCCCAAAAAUGAACCAUGAUAAUUAGCAGAUCAGUUGCUUCAGCGAAAGCUCAUGCACUUAAUCUUUUAUUCUUGCAUUGGGAAACUUCAUUUCUAUAUCAAAAGUCACAUAGAACAUGGAAAUAAUAAAGUCUAAGAAUAUAAUGGGAGAAAUCAUUAUAUUUGUGUUUCUAUAUUCCCUUAAUAUGACAUUUACAGAACUAACCAUUACCUAGGGCCAAACUGUGCCUUUGCAUACUUGUGCACAGCUCUUCUUGAAUUUAAUGGGAUUUGAAUGCAAGUAUCUCAGAGAUGCUUGGUCCUCUGGUUUCUACAGGAAAAUAGAAUUUUAAGGUCAAGUAAAGGUCAAAGUGACACUGUCACCAAUUAAACAAAUCUGAGCAAGUGCUAUGUUUCUUUUUAAACAAAACCCCACAACUCAGGCUAUGCAGUUUGCUGAAUUGAAAUAAUUGUGACCAGUAAAUAUUCCAUCUGUAUGUAUGCAUUCAUUCAUCUACCUUUGUGUGUGUGCUGACAUGUGUUUAAAUUCUUCAUUGCAAGGGGUGGGGGAACUGUUUUGGAAAUAUUUACCAAAACCGAUCAAAGCCCCAUAGGAGUACAUUUAUAAUCUGUUUAUAUCUAUCUGAUCCUUUCCCUACGGAGUUCAGUGUUUAUAGCUGUUUUUAGGGGGCACGGGGGGCUGCAGGGAGAGGAGAGGAUGGACAACUUCUAUCCCAUGAAUUUCCUUAAGCUAACACAUCUUAGGAUCCAAACCCAGUGCUUUUUUCCUUAAAAAAAUGUUUAGGGGUACUCUCAUUUUCCUACUCAUACUGAAAUACUGCCCCUCAAAGACGCCAAACCUAGAUUCACAAAAUGUUUAGGGGUAUGCGUACCCCUGCAGGGUCCUUAUAAUAAAGCUAUUACAUACAAUCAUGCCAUGUUAUAACAGAAUAACAGGCAGGGGAGGAUGCUUGUAUAGUCAUGCCAAGUUUGUUAAGGCUGUUCCCACAAGCUUUUCUAUUUAGUAGAAUCAAGAUAUAUAUAUAUUCAUGCAUGAUGCAUUAAUUAUAUGUAUUGGAUACCUCAGACAUAUAUAUAUAAAAGACUCAAAAGUCACAUCACACAAUGUGAGCUUAAAUGAUAGUAAUACGUUUAAGGUAGAGAGCUUGUUGACCUUUAUGAAUUCAGCCGCUAAGGCAGUUGAUAAGAAAGAGAUGUUUCAUUAAAACUGAAUUGUAGUGUUCUCCUCCCUCCCUCCCUCCCUCCCUCUCUCUUUGUACCUUAAAUCUUUACUAGCUCCAUUUUGUAAUAUUAAAAUCAUUUACAUGAAUGAUUAUGGGUCUUGUCCUUAAACGGUUGCCCAUUGCCCUAAAGAAAAUGUUUAUGACCUGAGCAGAAUAAUUAUAUUCUCCUAUUAAAUAUCACUCCUUCAGGCCUAGUUAUUGUUGAGGGUAAAUGUGCCACUUUAUAUGCAAAUAAAAUGCAGUGAGAGUCAAAUAAAAAGUUCUGCAUACAUCUACUGACAAAUCAUCUUAUUAUGUUUUACAUUAACUGACAGAACAUCUAGUGGGAUGAAAUGUUAAUAGAGUUCAACAGGAUGUUCCGUAUUGCUUUGCUCACAUGAAAUCUUAGUUAUGUGGAAGCCAUGGUCUAUGAAGAGAGGGGAGUUUAAAUGUUGCAGACCCACCAACUCCAGUAGUCAUCAGAUCCCCUCCUCCAAACCCUGAAGUCAGCUAACCUUUUAUUUUUAUUAUUAUUAUUACCCACUCUACUCCAGUGUGGAGUAGAACAAUUAUUUAAAUUUCAUUUUAGUGCCUAUUUCUCUUAAUAUACACAUUAUACUGCAAUAUAUAUUAUGCACACAUUUUCUGUAAUACAAUGCAUUAUACAUAUAAUUUUCACAAAUGAGUGUAUCUUUAUGCACACUAAUUUAUGCAUUCUUGUACAUAUUUCUUAAUCAGAGAACUACAUACAGAACUCAGAAAGGUGGACAUUUCAAAGGAAAGCUAUGUAUUGUUUCAGGAUGUGUAAAAUAUGUAGGUGCACAUUAAAAUGUGAAGUGAACCAAAUUUCUUCCUCGUCCCUAGCUGCAGAGGGAAGGGAAUUCAGUAGAUCUCAGUCCUGGUUGGAAAAAUAGUUAGGAUUCGUCAUAAUUUUUAUUCAACAGCUGAUCAGAAACAUCUUGAUUUAUACAAAGCUCCUUCUAAUAUUGUGAAAGUGGGUUGGAGAAAAAGAAUGAUGGUCAAAUUGUUCUUUUUAGUGUGGCAGAGAGACCACUAUAUUUCACUAUAUUUCAGACGAGAGCCUUUCAUUUCAAGAUAAUGUACUGACUUAAUCACCACUUUCCAAAACACAAAGCAUCCAAUCACUUUCCCCUCCUCUUUUGUUCAUUUUUUUUAAAAAAAGAACAGUUGCUUUUCAAUCUAUCUGUGCAUGAUUUUCCACCCACUAGUCUCACCCUAUAUAUGGCAAUUCUUUUCCACUCCCACCAAGCUUAUUUUUGUAACUAUAUUGAAAUCUUAUGCAUAAUGAUGGAAGGGUUGCUAUGGAGAUUGUGUGUGAUUUGUCAUGAGGAAAAUCUAUUGUGUUUGAGAUCAUUCUCCACAUUAAUGACCUGAGAAUCUUUUUGCUUUCAUCCUCAGGGGAUUAGGAAGGGGGGGAACCACCUACAUAGAUAUCAAGCCCUACAAACAAAAUAAAACCUUAUGACCAUCAAUGGGUGUUAACAGAAUCAUAGAAUUGCAGAGUUGUAAAGGGGUCAUCUAGUCCAACCCCCUGAAAUGCAGGAAUGUCAACUAGAUCAUACAUGACAGAUGGCCAUCCAACCUCUGCUUGAAAACCUCCAAUCACCAUCAUUUUUAGAAGAGUCCACUGCCUCUUGUGGGAAUAGGUUCCACUGUCAUACAGCUUUUACCACCAGAAAGUUCUUUUCCUGUAACUUGAAUCCAUUGAUUCAAGUCCUAGCCUCUGCAGGAGAAAACCAGCUUGCUCCAUCAUCCAUGUGACAGCCCUUUAGAUAUUUGAAGAUGGCUAUCAAAUCUCCUCUCAGUCACCUCUUUUCCAUGCUAAACAUACCUGAUUCCCUCAACUGCUCCUCAUAAGGCUUGUUUUCCGGACCCUUGAUCAUCCUGGUCACCCUCCUCUACACAAGUUCCAGCUUGUCAAUAUCCUUCUUAAACUGUGCUGCCCAGAACUGGACACGGUACUCUAGGUAUGGUCUGACCAAGGCAGAAUGGAGUGGUACUAUUACUUCCCUUGAUCUGGACACUAUAUUUCUGUUGAUGCAGUCUAGAACAGCAUUCAAUUUUUUUAUAUUUUUUGCUGCUGCAUCACGCUGUUGACUCAUAGUAAGCUUGAGGUCUACUAAGACCCCUAGAUCCUUUUCACAUCUUUACAAUCCAAGUGUACUCCAUCUUAUAUGUGUGCUGCUGGUUCUUCCAGCACACAGAGGCUAAUACUAUCACUCACAGAUGGUAUAUAAUUAAGCACAUUUAAGAGUCUGUGGUCUCAUGAAUCCUGUAUAAGAAAAAUUUUAAGUGUCUUCGCAAUUAAUUAUUUUCUCCUCUUGAAAUAUCCUGAAACACUGCAAUUAAACUGGUAUGCAUCUACUUAAGGUAACAAUCUCAAUCUAUAUAUAUGUAGUAGUUAGAAAACUCUAAUAUACAAUGUCUUCAAUCCAUGCUGCAUUUGCUAUAGAUAGAUAUAUAGAUGAUAUAGAUAUAGAUAUAUUGAUUACUGCAUGCCACUCAGAAGCAAUUCAGGCUAUCCAGUUUGCACCAAACUAUAGCUAAAAGCUUAGCUUCAGAUUACAACAAGGUGGCAUUUCUCCCAUACCCUACACACCAGCUGAGGCUCAGGAAAAUCUAAGAGAAAAUGCAUAUUAACUGCUUAGAAGCUCCAAGUUUUCAAGGGUGACCAUAGCUUUCUCAAGAGACUGAAGUCAAUCCCUUAAAGAGAAAGAUAAUAACAUGGAAGGGAGUUUCCGAACACGGAAAGAUACAGUGGUACCUCGGGUUAAGAACUUAAUUCAUUCCGGAGGUCCAUUCUUAACCUGAAACUGUUCUUAAUCUGAAGCACCACUUUAGUUAAUGGGGCCUCCUGCUGUCACCAUGCUGCCGCUGCACGAUUUCUGUUCUCAUCCUGAAGCAAAUUUCUUAACCCAAGGUACUAUUUCUAGGUUAGCAGAGUCUGUAACCUGAAGCGUCUGUAACCUGAGGUACCACUGUAUAUGAACUGGAACAUUACAGCUGUCCACUUCAGCUAGUGAGAAGUCAAACGUUUAGGAUCCAUUUAAUAAUGCAAAAGCUAUGUCCAGCUCAGACUACAUAAGCAUUCUCUAAAAUAGCCAACUGUUUUAUGGUAUACUUCUUGUUGAUGCACAACAGUCUCCAUGGCAAGAAAAAGACAAUGGGCUAGAUCAAAACUAAGUUAGUUAACUUGGCCCACUAAUUUCAUUGGGAUCCUAGUUUGCCUAAUCAAGAUCUAACCUAAUAGAUGUGUUUGUUUAUUUGAAUGCAUAUUACACUCUUACUCAAUGGGCUCAGGGAGCUUAUUUCAUUUUCAUUAAUUUUAAAUAUAAUAAAAGAUUUCAAAUAAAAAUACUUUAAUUAAUUUCAGACCGGAAGCCAUAUUAGCCUGAUAUAGGGAGGAAAAAGCAAUACAGAUUCUGGUGAACCUUAGAAAAUUAAUAGACUUACUGUGGCUUAAGCUUAAAUGUUCCAAAAUCCACUUCGUCUGUUGCAAAUUUGCUUUACGAAGAGUACUCUAAAUUAUAGAAGUAAAAAGGUAAAGGGACCCCUGACCAUGAGGUCCAGUCGUGACCGACACUGGGGUUGCAGUGCUCAUCUCGCUUUACUGGCCGAGGGAGCCGGCAUACAGCUUCCGGGUCAUGUGUCCAGCAUGACUAAGCCGCUUCUGGUGAACCAGAGCAGCGCAUGGAAACGCCGUUUACCUUCCCACCGGAGCAGUACCUAUUUAUCUACUUGCACUUUGAUGUGCUUUCGAACUGCUAAGUUGGCAGGAGCGGGGACCGAGCAACGGGAGCUCACCUCGUUGCGGGGAUUUGCGGCAAGUCCUAGGCUCUGUGGUUUAACCCACAGCGCCACCCGCGUCCCUAUAGAUUAUAGAAGUAUUACUCUUUAAAAGUACUGUACAAGACACUCUAACAUUUGAACAUUUCUAUUCCCCUUGAGUUCUACUAUUCCCUUUCAUCCUCCUGAAUACAUAUUCUAUAAAUUAAAUAUUGUAGUCAAUGAAAUAAAUUUGUAAUUACGGUAAAUAUCCUUCCUUCAAUUAAUUUAUUAAUGUUGCAGUGUCUACACCAGCCUUCCUCCAACAGUUGCCCUCCAGAUCCUUCUGGAUAUCAUUUCCCCUCAUCCCUGACCUUUGGGCAUGCUUGCUGUGGUUGAUGGGAGUUGGAGUCCAACAGCAUCUGAAGAUCACCAAGUUGGGGAAGUCUGCUCUAUAUAAACUAGAUGCAUCUGUCAAAGUGGCUCUAGCCAGCAAAAGCAUAUGACAUGAUGAUUUGUUAGUAUUUUAAGUAAAGUGCCACAGGACUCUGUUGUUUUGCUGCAGCACAGAUUAACACUAAUUAUAUUUGGAGGAAAAUUUAGAUUAGCACUGCUACUCUUCUCGAACUUUUCCUAGAAUAUUUUUUUAGGCACUGAUGGCAUUUCAGCUUUGUUAUAAAAACAUUAAGUGAAUAGCAUUCAUGAUUGCAGAGAUAACCCUGAAGAUCUGUGCCCUAACAAACAUUUCAUAAAUAUGACUAUGGCUGCAACCCUUAACCCACCGACCUGGGAAUAAAUCCCACUGAAGUCAACCCCAUGCUGAGUAGGCAUGCAUAGGAUUUACAAUAUAAAUGAAUGGCUACAGCCAGUAGGUGACAUUUUACAGGUACACAAAUAUCUGUGAACUGGAAUUGGGAUGCUACUGCAGUGGGAUCAGUGGGCAUAAAUUAAAGAGAAACAUAGGCACAUACAGUCUGCCUUCUCCCUCCCAACAGCAACAAAUCAUAUAGUCAUAUAACAAAAAGGAAGGCAGAAAUAAAUAAAUAAAAACACCCAAUAAAUCAGGAAACAUAAAAUAUACAACUAAAAGGACAAAAAAUAAAAAAUAAAAAUAAAUCCAGAAAACAGAAAAAAAAAAGUUAGGCCAGUUCCAUUUCAAAUUUGUGUCUUUAAGAAUACAAUCUUUAAGAUACAGUUAUAUAUAUCUGUUAGAAUGUAACCAUCCACUCAGUCAAAGGUAAAUGUUUCAAGUCUCCAUUGCUGUAGGCAGUCUCUGUGUCCCAUUCACAAAAAAGCUCGCCCGCAGAAAUCGGAAGCUGACUUCCUGUUUUGCUUCCGUUUCGCCAAAUUAACUUUUUAGCUUCUAAUUUUAAUUUUAAAUGUUUUGACAUUUAUCUCUAAUUGGAAGAUCUACUGCUUCUGGUGACAGAUCAUAGCUUCGGCAGCAGGCUGCAUUGGUGUCGAGAGUGAACUCAAGCCUCUUCC